CGGUCACAUCUGGGUUUCCAGAAGACAUGCCAUUCCUUUUGACAUUAGAACAAGACGUCCCAGAUGGCGAGAAAGAAGCCAAAAUGGAGACAGAAGUUACCAGGGAGAAUAAUGAACAAACGACGGAGGACGACUGCCUGUGGCCGUACCUGGAGGAAUUUUUCAUUUACAAAGGAAGAAAAUGAGACAGCGUCCAGAUGAAGUGAAACUUUGUUUGACCAACACUGUGAUAUCUGCUUACAAGACUUCAACGUUUAAUCUAAAAAACA
ensembl:lncRNA